AUCCACGACCCCUUGGGUUUCUUUGGGAGGAGAUCUCAGAAACUCCAUGUGGAUGGAGAGUGGGAAGUGAGGCCAGCAAGAUAGACCAGGUGGGCACUAAGCAGACUACCACUAUAAUCUGGGGCUCAGUCCUGCUCAGAAGCCCCAGGAGCCGGAAUGGGGUGCUUUGAUGUCACCCCAGGUACCAGUGAGGGGGCUGGGGCGUUGGUACACUACCUUCCCGGCAGUCACUGGUGGGAAGCAGCUUACUGUGGAACUCUUUAACUCUCUUGUUCUCAUAGCUGGGGGCCAGUCAUGCUCUGGAAAACGGACAGAGGUCUCAGGAUCACGGUACUCAGGGCUGGGGAAGGCAGGCAGAAGGAAGAGUCAUGUUGCACGACAAGAGCACCGGGUGCAGUGGCAACCCUGAUUGUGAUUGUCCCCAUUUGUUGCCAGUGCAGUGCCAGCCCUGCCUGCAGUACUUGUGCAACUGCAGGCAACUCACCCUGCUUUUCUAAGCCUUUGUUUUGCAACCUGUAAAAUGUGAAGAGGCACAGUUCCUGGUGGAAAUGGUCAUGCCUGCUUAGUGACUCUUGGAAAUAGGUGGGGACAGUUUUAACAGCCACGGUUGCCUGGAGGUGCUGCCAGCUUUUGCUGGUUGGGGGCCAGAGCUACUGCUAAAUCUUUGAUGCCGAUGAUCACCCCACACACACCCCUGCAUGUCAUGCAGCAGGACACACUGCACAUCUCACGUCUCAGGGUGCUCAGUGGUGUUUGGAGAGGGAAGAGUCUGAGGUGGGCUAAAAGGAGGGGGACCUGGGUACCCCAGUGCUACAGAGAUGCUGAUGACAGCUAAACAUGGGAUAGAGGCGACUGGAGGAGACAACCUGACAUCGGGCCAGGACUUACGGGUGAUGCUGCGUCAUGGGAGGAAGAGCCGAGUGGGGACACAAAGCUGACUGGCUACCUUCCUCCCUCCUUCACCAUGGAAAACUGCCGUGGGUCUCCAGAAUCAUAGAGUGAAGCAGAUUCCUUCAUAAGAACUGGAAACACGCACCCUCGGGAUCAGGAUGCAGCUCAGUCGGCAGAACACUUGCUCAGCUUGUAUUCCACCCGACCCCGAGUUCCGAGUUCCAUUUCCAGCAGUGCAGAAGGUCCCGGCUCUUGUGGCAGGGAAUCAGAAGGUGAAGGCUAUCCUGGGCUACCUACAUGAGACCCUGCCUCAAAAACAAAAUCCAGCAGGAAAUGACAGGCAAUAGGGUGGGAGAGGAGGCUCGAGCAGACCUUGCGCUAGCUAAGGUGCCCUUGGUGGUUAGUGAGUUCAUGGCUGCUGGUGGAGUGGGAGUCCUUUUCCUCAGUUUCCUGUGUUCCUGCCAAUGACUCCUCAACUGUGUUCAUGCAGGCAUCCCCAGUUCCACUCAGUCAGUCACCAUCAAAAGAGACGUUAAAGUGAAAAGCAAGAGGAGAGGGUGGAGGAAAGACAGUAUGAAAGAAAUGAGGAAGAAAUGUCCUGCUGCACUAUAUACAUACAUGAACUUGUCAAAGAAUUAAAACUUGCUCUUAGGGAUGGAGAGAUGGCUUGGCAGUUAAGAGCACUAACUGCUCUCCCAGAACACCUGGGCUAAUUCCCAGCCCCCACACGGCAGCUUAUGUCUAUCGGUAACUACAAGAUCUGACACCCUCACACAAAC
rnacentral:lncRNA from 1 species